rnacentral:rRNA from 1 species
UACGUAGGGGGCAAGCGUUGUCCGGAAUCAUUGGGCGUAAAGCGCGUGUAGGCGGUUCGGUAAGUCUGCUGUGAAAGUCCAGGGCUCAACCCUGGGAUGCCGGUGGAUACUGUCGGACUAGAGUACGGAAGAGGCGAGUGGAAUUCCCGGUGUAGCGGUGAAAUGCGCAGAUAUCGGGAGGAACACCAAUUGCGAAGGCAGCUCGCUGGGACGUUACUGACGCUGAGACGCGAAAGCGUGGGGAGCGAACAGG